GACGAACGCUGGCGGCGUGCUUAACACAUGCAAGUCGAACGUGAUUUUUGUGGAAAUUCUUUCGGGAAUGGAAAUGAAAUGAAAGUGGCGAACGGGUGAGUAACACGUGAGCAACCUACCUUACACAGGGGGAUAGCCGUUGGAAACGACGAUUAAUACCGCAUGAGACCACAGAAUCGCAUGAUAUAGGGGUCAAAGAUUUAUCGGUGUAAGAAGGGCUCGCGUCUGAUUAGCUAGUUGGAAGGGUAAGGGCCUACCAAGGCGACGAUCAGUAGCCGGUCUGAGAGGAUGAACGGCCACAUUGGAACUGAGACACGGUCCAAACUCCCACGGGAGGCAGCAGUGGGGAAUAUUGCACAAUGGGGGGAACCCUGAUGCAGCGACGCCGCGUGAGCGAAGAAGGUUUUCGAAUCGUAAAGCUCUGUCCUAUGAGAAGAUAAUGACGGUAUCAUAGGAGGAAGCCCCGGCUAAAUACGUG
rnacentral:rRNA from 1 species